rnacentral:rRNA from 1 species
AGAGUAGGAAGACCGAUAGCGAACAAGUAGCGUGAGCGAAAGUUUGAAAAGCACUUUGGAAAGAGAGUGACAUAGAACCUGAAGUCGUGACAAUGACAAUGGAAGUACCUCCAUUUCAACGGCCAAAACCAGCCUCACAGCAUUAUCCUAUUAGGGUUAAAAAUCUAGUAGGUAACUAAGUGCAAGAUGAGAGGCCAUGGUGAAGUGGGCGGAGAGUAAGGGGUGUCGAUUUUUAUUAAAGCGGCAUUUUUUCCUUCUCUGUGAUCCUCGAUGUUGGCGAAGGAAAUGGUGCCCCCACCCGUCUUGAAACACGGACCAAGGAGUCAAACAGACGCGCAAGGGAGGAGAUAUUGUUGCCAGUACUUCUCUCGUACUGAAAGGGAGAUGAGAGUAGGAAGACCGAUAGCGAACAAGUAGCGUGAGCGAAAGUUUGAAAAGCACUUUGGAAAGAGAGUGACAUAGAACCUGAAGUCGUGACAAUGACAAUGGAAGUACCUCCAUUUCAACGGCCAAAACCAGCCUCACAGCAUUAUCCUAUUAGGGUUAAAAAUCUAGUAGGUAACUAAGUGCAAGAUGAGAGGCCAUGGUGAAGUGGGCGGAGAGUAAGGGGUGUCGAUUUUUAUUAAAGCGGCAUUUUUUCCUUCUCUGUGAUCCUCGAUGUUGGCGAAGGAAAUGGUGCCCCCACCCGUCUUGAAACACGGACCAAGGAGUCAAACAGACGCGCAAGGGAGGAGAUAUUGUUGCCAGUACUUCUCUCGUACUGAAAGGGAGAUGCAGACAAGAAUUAAGGCACCAAGUGGGCCUUCUUCGGUAAGCGGACGAGGCGAUGCGGAAUGAACCAGUUAGGGAUAUGUGGCGUCAAAACUUAUGGGCUCAUUCUCGAUACGUGAAAAGGGUGUUGGUGGAUAGGGACAGUUGGACGGUGGCCAUGGAAGUCGGCACCCGCUAAGGAGUGUGUAACAACUCACCAACCGAAUCCACCGG